GAAAAGUUUUAACCAAAUCAAAUACCUUAGUAGACAUUGAAGGAUCACCAAUGAAAAUCCCAUGGCGACGUCCUUCAUAAAAGUGCCCCAUCACACGGACACCCUUACCCUUGAGCAGUUGCACUAACUCCCUCCCCCGGUCAACCAGUGGAUCUCCUUCACACCCAAACACUUCAACCCUCCAUCCAAGCUCCUUAAUCCGAUCCAAAACCUUAGCCCCACCAUCCACCGUCGGAUUGGAAUACUCACUAUCACGGUCAACGCCAACCGGCAAUGACAGGUUCCACAUCAUAUCAGUAAUUGGCUGAGGUAUAGUCCCAUCCUCCGCGAGCCUCAACUCGGACGCUGUCCUCUUGGUCCCACCGAAAAACGGCUGAAUCAGAACCAUUCCUUCAAUGUUCAAUUACGCUGUAGAGGAUGAAGCCGCCGCCGUGGUAGAAGACGAUGAGGGGUUGUCGCUUGAAGUGGUGGCGCGUGGUAUCCAGUGCUUUGUGAGGGUGCCGUUUGAGUUGAGGAUUAUGUGGAGUGAUUUGUAGGGAUCCAUGGAUGAGUUCACUACAAAGAGAAGGAUGUAUAAGGAAAAUGCAGUAGCAGUAGCAGCAGCAAUUUGUGAGUGUAGCCUCAUAGUUAAUAGAGAAGUUCUGCUCAACAUAAACAAUGGCUGAAACUUUUUGAAGACACUUUAUUGGAAAUAAUUAAUUUAAGACUGAGUAAAUUAAAGACUUCACGAGUUCAAAAAAAAUUAAAAGACUUUACUAUUAGGGACAUUAUUUAAUAUAUUAAUCAUAUCCUAUUUAUAAGAACUUUUUAUAAGAAAAGUCUUGAUUAAUUUUAUAAGAAUCAAAUGAAAGUCUUUGCUAUAUUUUUUUUCAAUGAUGCACUUAUUAAUUCUAACUAGUUAAACGUGCCUCAUUAAUUAUUAUCUCUCAUUUUCACUCUCCAAUACUAAUAACAAAAGGUAAUUUUAGAAGUUCAUAAUAAUUCAAAAUAAAUUUAAUGCAUUUUAACUACAUUUCUUAAAUUAUAUGAAUUUUUUUUUGCUUCUUAUAAAUAGGACCGAAGGCAGUACGAACUAUCUAAGGUUUUUUUUACACAUUUAUUCGUUUAUUUGCUUAUUUUUCUUUUUUUCUUUAUAAACAAAAUUUUCCUUUUAAUCUUCCUCCUGUAACAAAAAAAAACAAAAUUUUCCUUUCACGCUUUACUAUGAAAUCUUUAAGAAGGGAAAUGAAGGUUGAAGGUGCAGUUGAUGCCUCAUGAAUCGUGGAGGAAGUAAAUAAUGGUUUUGGUUAGGGAUAUUUGUCAGAGACAGUUUUGGUCGAUUUAGAGUCAAGAACGUUAGUUUCAUCGGUUGAAAAACAACAAACUACUAUGUUUGUCAUUGUUCGUUCAAUGCUUACAAAUUGAUCUGGGUGCGGUUUUUACGGUUCACAACAUUACAUGCGAGUUGUUAAUCCAAAAAAUCAACAAAGAAAAAGAUGAAAGGUUGAGUACAAGCCAAGUUGAUUUCUAGUAAAGUCAAAAAAAUGAUAACAUUAAAUUAAUCAACCCAUUAACCAAAAAUAGAAAUCUUUACAUAAGAAAAUUUAAUAAAGAAAAAGAAAAAAAGAGGGUAGAGAAACCCUAAUGCAACAUUUGAUCUCCUUUAAUAUGUGGCUGCAUCUUCAACUUCAAAUCUUAAUGAGGAAGUAAGAACAUGGACGAAGCGGCCACAAGAAGCACAUGCAGUGAAAGAUGGAUGCCACAAAGAGGAGCUUGACGAUGAUUGAGAUGUCAUUGCAAAAGAGGAACAUAACCGAUAGAGUUCAUCGAUGGCUAGCAUUUGAAGGAGAAGCUUUCUUCUUUAUAUAAAUGGAACUCUAGAAGGAGUGGUUGUAGAUGGGAAGGUCGGAAGGAGAAGCUUUCUUCUUUAUUUAAGUCCCUAAAUUGAUCUUUUAGAUACAUUUGUUUAUUUUGCGAAAACAAAUGUCCUCUCCCCACUUCAAAAUGAUUUUCCCCCUCUUUUAUGAUGGUUGUUUACUUGUUUUACUUUUUAAGUAGAUUUUUAUUUUCCUUAGCUUAUCAUUGAACACAAGAAGAAAAUAAUUAACCAGGCUUCCUCUAGAACUAGUGAAAAAUGAAGAAAAAAAUAUUAAUAUAUGAUAUUGUAUAGUAACUUUCUCCAAGUGAUGCUACAUUUUAGCUAGGAAAAACAGUGUAAUUUACUAAUUUUAGCUACUCUUUGUUGGGGAGAGUCACGACGAGGACCCAUGGGCUAAGGCCGAGAGGAGACACCAAGGAGAUCUUGGACACCACAUCUUAACCCAAAACCUUAAGGCAUUAGGUUUAUGAGUCACAUCUCUUAUAAACUCUCCCUCUCACCUUGACUUCUCCGAUGUGAGACUUGACUCCAACACUUGAUUCCAACAAUCUCCCCCUCAAGUGUGAGUCCUUCAACCACAUCACCCAUGAUCCUCCCAUCUCCGGAAGCAUAUCCACCCUUGCAUCGCCGUUCGCUGCCAACGGAACCUGCCGCCUAGCCACACUGCUAGAAAGACUUUCGACACAAGGAGUCGUUACCAUGGUCGCACGAACCAUCGGCUCUGAUACCACUUGUUGGGGAGAGUCACGACGAGGACCCAUGAGCCAAGGCCGAGAGGAGACACCAAUGAGAUCUUGGACACCACAUUUUAACCCAAAACCUUAAGACAUUAGAUUUAUGAGUCACAUCUCUUAUAAACUCUCCCUCUCACCUUGACUUCUCCGAUGUGGGACUUGACUCCAACACUUGAUUCCAACAAUACUCUUGUGUUUAUUUCCAUCCAUCUAAGAUAAAACUAUUUAACACUUAAAAUAAAUAAACCAACCCCUCAAUUUAUUGCUUACAAAGUUACUACAAACUCAUCAUCAAUGAAAAGUUUUAAGUGAAUUGAAUACCUUAAUAGACAUGGAAGGUUCACCCGCGAAAAUGCCAUGGUGACCUCCUUCAAUAAAGUACCCCAUCACACGGACACCCUUACCCUUCAGCAGUUGAACCAAUUCCCUCUGCCGGUCAACCAGUGGGUCCCCUUCACACCCAAACACUUCAACCCUCCAUCCAAGCUCCUUAAUCUGAUCCAAAACCUUAGGCCCGCCCUUCACCGUUGGAUUAGAAUACUCAUGAUCACGGUCAGCGCCUACCGGCAAUGACAGGUUCCACAUCAUAUCAGUAAUUGGCUGAGGUAUGGUCCCAUCUUCCACAAGCCUCAACUCCGAUGAAGUCCUCUUGG
rnacentral:lncRNA from 1 species